rnacentral:ncRNA from 1 species
CAACGGACUUAAACCAAAGGAUUGAGUGCCUUCGGGGAAACCCGGAGAGUAGAACUGCUCAAAUUCGGGGAAGCCUUCGCUGGUAAUCCCGAGCCAAGCCGGUCGAAAGAUCGGAAGGUGUAGAGACUAGACGGGCAGCACCUAACCCCGCUCAGGGCAUGGUGAAGGGAUAGUCCAGACCACGAACGCGCA